UGGGUAACCUGCCUCAAAGAGGGGAAUAGCCUCCCCGAAAAGGGAGAUUAAUACCGCAUAAUAUGUUUAAGUCGCAUGACUUUAACAUCAAAGGAUUUUCUUUUAAGAAAUUCCACUUUGAGAUGGACCCGCGGCGCAUUAGCUAGUUGGUGAGGUAACGGCUCACCAAGGCAACGAUGCGUAGCCGACCUGAGAGGGUGAUCGGCCACAUUGGAACUGAGACACGGCCCAGACUCCGUAAGGGAGG
rnacentral:rRNA from 1 species